rnacentral:rRNA from 1 species
CUACGUGCCAGCAGCCGCGGUAAUACGGGGGGUGCGAGCGUUAAUCGGAAUAACUGGGCGUAAAGGGCACGCAGGCGGUGACUUAAGUGAGAUGUGAAAGCCCCGGGCUUAACCUGGGAAUUGCAUUUCAUACUGGGUCGCUAGAGUACUUUAGGGAGGGGUAGAAUUCCACGUGUAGCGGUGAAAUGCGUAGAGAUGUGGAGGAAUACCGAAGGCGAAGGCAGCCCCUUGGGAAUGUACUGACGCUCAUGUGCGAAAGCGUGGGGAGCAAACAGGAUUAGAUACCCUGGUAGUCCACGCUGUAAACGAUGUCGAUUUGGGGGUUGAACUUUAGGUUUGGCGCCCGUAGCUAACGUGAUAAAUCGACCGCCUGGGGAGUACGGCCGCAAGGUUAAAACUCAAAUGAAUUGACGGGGGCCCGCACAAGCGGUGGAGCAUGUGGUUUAAUUCGAUGCAACGCGAAGAACCUUACCUACUCUUGACAUCCAGA